ACGGAAGGCAGCAGUGGGGGAUAUUGCGCAAUGGGGGCAACCCUGACGCAGCAACGCCGCGUGCAGGAAGAAGGUCUUCGGAUUGUAAACUGUUGUCGCAAGGGAAGAAGACAGUGACGGUACCUUGUGAGAAAGUCACGGCUAACUACGUGCCAGCAGCCGCGGUAAUACGUAGGUGACAAGCGUUGUCCGGAUUUACUGGGUGUAAAGGGCGCGUAGGCGGGAUAGCAAGUCAGUCGUGAAAUACCGGGGCUCAACCACGGGGCUGCGAUUGAAACUGUUAUGCUUGAGUAUCGGAGAGGAAAGCGGAAUUCCUAGUGUAGCGGUGAAAUGCGUAGAUAUUAGGAGGAACACCAGUGGCGAAGGCGGCUUUCUGGACGACAACUGACGCUGAGGCGCGAAAGUGUGGGGAGCAAACAGGAUUAGAUACCCUGGUA
rnacentral:rRNA from 1 species